AAAUUGAAGAGUUUGAUCAUGGCUCAGAUUGAACGCUGGCGGCAGGCCUAACACAUGCAAGUCGAACGGUAACAGGAAGAAGCUUGCUUCUUUGCUGACGAGUGGCGGACGGGUGAGUAAUGUCUGGGAAACUGCCUGAUGGAGGGGGAUAACUACUGGAAACGGUAGCUAAUACCGCAUAACGUCGCAAGACCAAAGAGGGGGACCUUCGGGCCUCUUGCCAUCGGAUGUGCCCAGAUGGGAUUAGCUAGUAGGUGGGGUAACGGCUCACCUAGGCGACGAUCCCUAGCUGGUCUGAGAGGAUGACCAGCCACACUGGAACUGAGACACGGUCCAGACUCCUACGGGAGGCAGCAGUGGGGAAUAUUGCACAAUGGG
rnacentral:rRNA from 1 species